GACGGCUUUAGCGCGGUGGUCCCACCUGACCCCAUGCCGAACUCAGAAGUGAAACGCCGUAGCGCCGAUGGUAGUGUGGGGUCUCCCCAUGUGAGAGUAGGACACUGUC
rnacentral:rRNA from 1 species